GUACAUAUGUUUGUCCCGCGAUGAUUACGCUUCGUUCGAAGUUUUACUUCUCACGUUUUGUAAAACUUAAUGAUUUUCACCGUUGACGUCCUUUUUGUGGUGAAAAUCGGGUUGGACAUCCUAUGGUACCAUUUUUGCACAUAAACAACUCAAAAGAUGGUGAAUUGAUGCAGAUAGCUGUUAACAAGUUAUCAUCCAGCCUGUUCCUACUUAUUCAUCUCUUUGCCAUCAACCUUUCAAGACGACAUCACUAACUGAUUAAGAGAAGAGUUACAAUGUAUGCAUCCAAAAAUUGCUAUGCGAACUAACAACAUCACAGGGGACCAGUUUCCCAUGAAUAUGAACCGGAUCCCAAAAAGAGGAGACAGCGUAAAUAUCAUGCCAAAAAAGGACUCCUCCCGAAAGCAACACAUAUGUGUACAAUGGUCAACGGGUCCAUGUUCAUCAAGUUUCAGGACAACAAUCGACCUGAGGAUACUUGGAUUUGGACAAACAAGGAAGAAUGGUGUCAAGCAUAUCGUACCAAGGGGUUGUCUCCUGAAAAUGCUGAAGUUCAGGUUGAUGGGAAUGGGUAGCAGGUCCUCAAAAUUCCAAGGCCAGGGAAUACCCCUCAAUUUGCCAUUCCAGCACCACCUGCACCAGCAAAAUGCACUACAACUUCAGCACCUCAAACUACAUGUAGGCGUAGCACAGACCUUACUUUAACCGUGUCAAUCAAACAGUCUGCUAUGGUGACACCAUCCAAAACCUCAUCAGCAGAAUGUAACUUUGUGGGUGUACCUGUGGAAAGAUAUGAAGAAGUAAGCGCAACCAUAUCUCAGGAUGCAUUGCAAUCAAUAGGGGUGCUUCCUCUUCGUCCAGUUAACUUGCUGGAGGCAAAAGAUGCUACCGUCGAGCCAGUGGUGAAUAACCCUACUGAGUCAAGUCAUCAGACUGCAAAACCCUCAGAGAGCUCAAAUGUCACCACAGUAAAAUCAUCAAGUAGAGUCACACUGUCGACCAAGGUCCCAAAGCAACACAAAGCUCGAAAAGAACUGGAUGCACUGAAAGAGAACAAGGUAAAGAAAGCACAUGUACUUGUAACCCCAAGUCAAAUUAAUUACUGUUGUCAUUGUGAGAAAAAAUAUAAGGCACAGGAUAAGGAUUGGCAGUGGGUAGGAUGUGAGAAUGCAGAAAUAUAUGCCAAUCUUGGGUGCACACAAAGUGCCUCAACUGGACAAAAAAGGACACUGAAAUUUAAACAUGGUAGUAUGACCAGUGUAAGCAGGACCAAUAAAAAGACUUACUCAUAUUUUACUCCUCUGGACCAUAACAUGUACAUGUUCAUUUAUGCAUCUGUAACCUUGCCAUUUGUAUAAUUUAAUACAACUGCUAACCAAUUUUUGAUUGUACCUUAUGAUAAAAAAGCACCAAAUUUGCUCGUGUGUGAUACAUUAAGCAUGAUUUUAAAUCUGUCCAAUUAUGCUGAAAAAUUGCAUGGUUCAACAUUUAAAAAUGUUUGAAACUAUUUUAAAAUAAUUUUAAAACACAAAAAUAUGCAAUUUAUUAUCAGAGAUCCAAUCACAUAUCACAUGCUCUGACCAGUGCAAGUGUAAUUGAAUUCAUGUAGAUUGCUUAUAAUGGUGUUUUGCCUGCCUUUCACAUAGCCUGCAGUGUACAUGUACAUGCAUUUUCAUCAAGGCUUCAUGUAAAAAAAUGUACAAUCUCGCCAUCUGCAUACAAUGUACAUAUGUAGUUAAAACUUUGAAUGUCAACAAACCUAUGAUUGACCACUAAUCAAUGCUCCAACUAUUGAGUCUCUUUCCAAUACAGUAAGUAUAAUUUUAAAUUGUUCUAUCAUGUUGAAAUCAAUCAAUUGGUGUGAUUAGUGUAAGCAGGUCCAGUGAGAAGGUUUGCUGGUAUUUUCCUUCUGUUAACCGUAAUUUGUAGUCUUGAUUUGCAAAAUUGCUGUAUGAUGACACCUUUGAACGCCAACAAAGCUAUGGCUGCAAACUUAACAAUGAUCCAACUCGUGAACGUGUUUCAGCACAAUUUAAAUCUAAACAUCGUGUUGAAAAGUAUUUUCACACAUUUUGAGACUAAAAACAAUAAUCAUACAUGAAUAUUUUGAAAAUGACAAGGAUUAUUCAAAGUUUAUACAAAGGAUAAUAAUUUAAUUAUUAAAGGUCUAAUUACAUGUAUAAAUAAGUUGGUGUGAUCAGUGUAAGUACAUGUAAGUCCAGUGAGACGGUUUGCUGGUAUUUUCCUAGCCUUGAUGAUUAUUUGUUACCUCAAUUUGUAACGUUGCCAACUGUAUAAUUACACCUUUCAACAUUAAGAAACACAUGAUGUGAUCACGAUCAAUACACGUUUUAUGGAAAUUUUCCUUUUAUCCUGUUAAAUAUUUCCUUUAAUGUACAGGGCUCAAAAUUACAAUUGAUUUGAUUACACAUGUACAUGUUAAGUAAUUUUUUUUAUAAAUAUCGCACAAAUCUUCUGUCAUUAGAGAUUAAGUUACAAUUUUGAAGUUGAAAGUAUUGUCUAGUUGCUUUAAUAAAAAAAAGAUGGUACAUGUAUACACUACAUGUACAUGUAUAUGCGUGAUGUAUACACUUCUGAUCACAUUUCCCUUCCAAUGAAUGUCACAUUUGAUUUACCAGAAAAAAAUGCGGGAUUCUUUUGUUGAACUUUCUAAAUGAUGUUACAUGUAUAAAUACUUUGUUCUCAAAUAGUAUCAUGUAAAAAUCAAAAUAACCCUUUCUGACAUACAUGUACAUGUAUAUAUACGUGUAGUUAGCAAUGAUUCAAAUUUCAUAGGGACAGUUACCGUACUUCAACAUGCUUUAUGAUGUUCAUGACCUUCCACGUUAUCAGUUACUGUAAGAGUAUUGUCAGCCGUCGUAUUGAAUAAUGCACUGCCUUUGAAGUUGCUUUAUACACACUGAAGAAAACUAACUUAAUCAGAAUGGUGAUGUCAUAUUUGGAUAUCACUUCAAGUCAUUCAUUUAGAUCUUAAGAAAUUAAAACCAGAUAUAUUUCAAACCAGGGUAUUUUGCUUACUACUGAUGAUACAGUUUUCUGAAAUACUUGUCAAAGGUUCAUCAUCAAAAAAAGUAUUUUUUUCUUUGAUUAAAAUGUGUGCACUUUGGUAUUGAAAACGAUUAAUUGCAUCAUACAAAAUGGCUGUUAUUUAGACCCACUCAUUACCAGCUGUGAAACUAAUCAGACACGACAAAAGAAAUUCUAGCCAUAGCUUCACAUUGUAAAGAUAUUUCAGACACUAUCAAAUCUUUUGGAUUAUAUGACUCAAAAUCAUAUCG